UCUGCUGGAAUGUGAUGCAAAAAUGAGGGAUUAAUUGUGGAAAUUUCCCAUUUGACAUAUAAAUGCAUAAAUUGGGUCUGGGCAUGGAUCAACACGCGGCCCCCACCCUUAAACACCACCAUUUCAAUAUUAAAAAAGCAAAAAACAGAACCACUGAACUCUGCCAUUUUCAAUGAAACUUAUACCUAACCCCCCCAUUUUUUUUCUUAUUCUUUACCUUGGCAGACUCUUAGGCUUCACCGGCGCAUAAUACGCCUCCACCACCGUCGCGGUUUCAGCCAGACCACAAGGAUCUGUCGACCAUCAGGCCGGAGGAGCCAACGUCGACUAAAUCGACACCAAAAAUAGUAAAUAAACUCCUCUUUUAGAUUUGUCAAGUAGAUUCGAAAUAAGGUGGCAAUGGCAGACAGCUGGUAGUGGCGGGCCCAGGUGCGGCGGCUAGGGUUUUUGUUUCCUUUUUUGGCUAAGAAUUGUUUAGGUGUUGGGCUAUUGGGCUUUAGCUUUUUUUUUGGGUUUGGUUUGAUUGUUUUUUUUUUAUUAUUUGGUAGGCCCGAGUAAAUUUUGUGCCUUACAGACUGCAUGCACUUCAACAAAAACAUAAUAACAGCAUGGUUGGCCACCUUCAACAA